AUGGGGCUCUGGCAGAGACCAGCGACUCAUCUGUCCCAGCAAAAGCCACCACAGCAGCCGGACGCCUCCCUUCCUCGUGCUCUGGCGGCAGCCGUCACCCUCAUCAAGGAAGCUCACACUGAUGCUGCCUUGUUCACAGUGGACAGCAGCUCCACCCAGGACAGAGAAGGCUUGGCAGGAUACGCUGUCACCGCCACAGAUGAAGUCACUGAAGCGGGGCCCUUCCCAAAGGCUGGCCUGGGGGGCAGUGGGGGCCUGUAUGAAGCCUCGGCCCCCCGGAGCUGCCUAUACCUCCACCGCACCACGCAGUUUCUGCUGCAGCUGCUGAGAGAACAAGGCAAUGGCCACAUCAUCUCCUGGACCUCAAGGGAUGGUGGUGAGUUCACACUGGUGGAUGCAGAGGAGGUGGCCCGGCUGUGGGGACUGCGCAAGAACAAGACCAACAUGAAUUAUGACAAGCUGAGAGCAGCAGUUCCCCCUUCAGGGAGCAGGAGCACCAGUCCAAAUCCCCUGGAGGCCUGUCUAGAGGCAGAAGAGGUGGGCCUGCCUCUGCAGGUCAUCCUGACUCCACCUGAGGUUCCAAACCUGAAAUCAGAAGAGCUGAAUGUGGAGUCAAGUUUGGGCCGGCCACUUCCCCCAGAAGUGAAGGUGGAGGGGCACAAGGAAGAAUUGGAAGCUGCUAGGGAAGUGGGGUUUGUGCCAGAAGCUGCCAAGGCUGAACCGGAAGUCCCUCCUGCGGAGGGUGUGCCGGCCCGGCUGCCUCCAGUUAUGGAGACUACAGCACAAGUAGGUGGCCGUGUGGUCUCCACCCCUGAGAUCAACCAGCCACAGAAGGGUCGGAAACCCCGGGACCUGGAGCUUCCACUCAGCCCAAGCCUGCUGGGUGGGCCAGGACCUGAACGGACUCCAGGAUCAGGAACUGGCUCUGGUCUGCAGACACUGGGGCCAGCACUGACACCAUCCCUGUUUACCUACACACACAUUGACCCCGGUGCUGCUGACGCCCAGCUAGCUGCCUCCCAGCAUUCACUUCUGGAGCACGCUGAGACCCAUCGUGCAGCGUAGCCCGGCCAAACUCUCCUUCGUUUCCGUCCAGUGGCAGCGCCCAUGUGCACAUCCCUUCCAUCAGCGUGGAUGGCCUCUCGACCCCCGUGGUGCUCUCCCCAGGGCCCCAGAAGCCAUGACUACCACCACCACUGCCCCUUCUGGGGUCACUCCAUCCAUGCCCAUGGACUUCUCUCCAGCCAGCCAUCUCAAGGAGAAACAUAGUUUAUCUAACAGACUUGUGCUCUGGUUGUACUGGGGUGGGAUUCCUGGGAAGAAGAAUCUCUUACACUAACUUGUCCUUGGAAAACAUACCAUUUCUCUCUUCUUCGUCAGUCCCCCAGUGGCCGCCCUUGUACAUCUCCUACUUCAAUGGUAGGGAUGGUUUAUUUAUUUAUUUUUUGAAGGUCACUGGAAGGAGCCUGGCCCAACCCUUUUAGAGGGGUGGUUAAGACAUCUCCCCCCAUCUCCCCACUCUUUUUUCCCCAAGGCAAGACAAUCAGGGUCUGGCUUGAGAAAGACAUUUCUUUAUUUAUUUCUUGGCCUGCCCUUGGGGAGAUGAGGGAGCCCUGUCUACAUUUUGGGGUAGGGUAGAAGAGCUAGUUUGUUUUGUUAUUCCUGGCCAUACCUAAGGGUCUAGGAAGAAUCUGUAUGGCUUCAGAGUUUGGGAAUCCUCAACAAGGAGGAAUUACACCCUUGGAAUUUGAAUUACCACCUCUCCAACCUCUCUCAGAUAGUUUGUCCUUUUAUCAACUAACAUUUUGGCCAGGGAGAAACAAGCCUCUUAUUCUUCUCCCCCCUGAGAAGCCAUUCCUUUGUCUGCCAAACUCCCUGGGGUCCUGCCUGUUACCUCUCAAUGGAGGGUUUUCUUGGGAGGUAGUCCCCGUCUGGGGGAUCCCUCCAGCCAGUACUCCAGGUCUCCUUGUCUCCCACCCCCUGCCAUUUUGAUAGUAUAAUCUAUUUUCAAAUGGGGCUUUUCAAUAUGGGAGAGGGAGGCAUCUCUUCCUAUAUCUGA